GUUUACUGUACACACGUAGCAUUAAAAAGAUCGCGUUUUCACCACGUGCUUUAUACUACCAUACUACUGUAGCUUGACUCCAUUCGAUGACAGCGGUGAGUGAUGGCGAGUGAGAAUGACAAGAAGCUACAGUAGCAACAAGUUCUGACAGCUCAAUCGUCAUGAAACGUAAAUACAUCGAUGAGUUUUUCUCCAUUGGUUUCAUACAAACUUUGAGAAAUAACAAGGAGCGCCCACAAUGUGUUUUGUGCGGGGAAGUGCUUAGUAAUAAGUCUCUCAAAACGGAACAAAUGAAAACGACACAUCCUGACCAAACAUCCAGAGCAUGACGGUUAACACAGGGAAUUCUUCCAGAACAGGGCAGAAUACUUCAGGAAACAGUGCCUCGACAGUGGAUGAGUAAAUCAGCUAGGAAGGCAUUGUUGAAAUUUUAUAACAGGUGGUGAAUAAAGUAGAAUGUAACUGCACCAUGAAACCUAGCGGGCCCUCCUCUUACCCUGACCACAUCAAGGCUGUCAGGCCAGAUGAAAGGAAUCACACAGUGACCUGUGUUCUGUUUUGUGUUUUUUUUGUGUGUGUUUGGUUAUUUUUAAGGCAGUAGAUCAGCUUUAAUACUGCAGAUACACUACCAGUCAAAAGUUUUAGAACACCUACUCAUUCAAGGGUUUUUCUUUAUUUUUACUAUUUUCAACAUUGUUGAAUAUUAGAAGGCAUCAAAACUAUGAAAUAAUGUAGUAACCAAAAAAGUGUUAAACUAAUCAAAAUAUAUUUUAUAUUUGAGAUUCUUCAAAUAGCCACCCUUUGCCUUGAUGACAGCUUUGCACACUCUUGGCUUUCUCUCAACCAGCUUCACCUGGAAUGCUUUUCCAACAGUCUUGAAGGAGUUCCCACACAUACUGAGCACUUUUUGGCUGCUUUUCCUUCACUCUGCGGUCCAACUCAACCCAAACCCUCUCAAUUGGAUGGGAUGGCGUAUCGCUGCAGAAUGCUGAGGCAGCCAUGCUGGUUACGUGUGCCUUGAAUUCUAAAUAAAUCACUGACAGUGUCACCAGCAAAGCACCCCCAGACCAUCACACCACCUCCUCCAUGCUUCACGUGGGGAAUCACACAUGCAGAGAUCUAUUCACCUAUUCUGCAUCUCACAAAAACAAUAAGGUUUGAAACAAACAUCUCAAAUUUAGAAUCAUCAGACCAAAGGACAGAUUCCCACCGGUCUAAUGUCCAUUGCUCGUGGUUCUUGGCCAAAGCAAGUCUCUUCUUCUUAUUGGUGUUGUGGUAAACCAUGGGGUGUUGGGUUGAGCGUGCAGAGAUUGACACAGAGACAGGGAGGCUUUAGUCCGCAAAAACAACUUUACUAAGAGAGAAAAUAAAUAUAUCAAAGAAAUCACUUAGGUUUAGCUCGGUCCUUCUUCUCUCUUUUGCUUGGUGUCAUUCUCUCCCCCAUCUCUCUCGCAGUGUGCCAUCGUACUCCUUUUAUUUAGCCUCCACGGCUGGUUGGCACUUUCCUCUAAUUACCUCCACUUAGAGCUGUCUGUGUCGGGGUGCCCAGCUCCCGUAUUCCCAGCAGAGGGAGGCAACGUCGCCUCACGUACCUCCCCUCUAUUACCACCCCCCGGGGUAGACCUCCUGGGAAACCACAGUGUUCUUUAGUAGUGGUUUCUUUGCAGCAAUUUGACCAUGAAGGCCUGAUUCACACAGUCUCUGAACAGUUGUUGAACUCUGUGAAGCAUUUAUUUGGGCUGCAAUUUCUGAGGCUGGUAACUCUAAUGAACUUAUCCUCUGCAGCAGAAGUAACUUUGGGUCUUCCUUUCCUGUGGCGUCCUCAUGAGAGCCAGUUUCAUCAUAGUGCUUGAUGGUUUUUGCGACUGCACUUGAAGAAACUUUCAAAGUUCUUGAAUUGUUCUGGAUAGACUGACCUUCAUGUCUGAAAGUAAUGGACUGUUGUUUCUCUUUGCUUAUUUGAGCUGUUCUUGUUAUAAUAUGGACUUGGUCUUUUACCAAAAAGGCUAUCUUCUGUAUACCACCCCUACCUUGUCACAACACAACAGAUAACAGAUAAAUAAAGAAUACAAAUUGAAGAAUAUAAAAUAUAUAUUUGUUUAACGCUUUUAGUUACUACAUGAUUCCAUGUGUGUUAUUUCAGAGUUUUGAUGUCUUCAGUAUUAUUCUACAAUGUAGAAAAUAGUAAAGAAAAACCCUGGAAUGAGUAGGUCUGUCCACACUGGUACUGUAGGCCAACAGUAAUAGUGUUAUAUAGACCAACAGCAAUAGUGUUAUAUAGGCCAACAGUAAGUUUACCAUUAUGUCAUGUGUAGUGCACUGUCCCAAUCAUCCUAUGUAGCCUUUUUUACUCAUGUUCCACUGUCUUGCAAUGUUGAGGUUUGGGAGAAUUAUGGAAAAACAGAAUAGCAUUAAUCUAUCAUGCAAUCAUGUUUUAUCUUGUAAUACAUCACGUUUUAUCUUGUAAUACAUCACGUUUUAUCUUGUAAUGCAUCACGUUUUAUCUUCUAAUGCAUCAUGUUUUAUCUUGUAAUGCAUCAUGUUUUAUCUUGUAAUACAUCAUGUUUUAU
rnacentral:lncRNA from 1 species